GAAUCUAAACCCUUCCCAGAGUAUCAAUUGGAGGGCAAGUCUGGUGCCAGCAGCCGCGGUAAUUCCAGCUCCAAUAGCGUAUAUUAAAGUUGUUGCAGUUAAGAAGCUCGUAGUUGAAUUUCUGCCUUAUCAUUAAUUUCGCUUCCGAACGUAAUUUUAUUGAUUUGGCAUCUUCUGGAUUAUAUAUUAUUUUUAAUAUAUUUUUCCAGUAUUUUACUUUGAGAAAACUAGAGUGUUUCAAACAGGCUUUUGCCUUGAAUACUACAGCAUGGAAUAAUGAAGUAGGACUAUUGGUUCUAUUUUGUUGGUUAUCGAACCAUAGUAAUGGUUAAUAGGAGCAGUUGGGGGCAUUCGUAUUUAACUGUCAGAGGUGAAAUUCUUAGAUUUGUUAAAGACGAACUACUGCGAAAGCAUUUGCCAAGGAUGUUUUCAUUAAUCAAGAACGAAAGUUAGGGGAUCGAAGACGAUCAGAUACCGUCGUAGUCCUAACCAUAAACUAUGCCGACUAGAGAUUGGAGGUCGUCAGUUUAAACGACUCCUUCAGCACCUU
rnacentral:rRNA from 2 species